rnacentral:sRNA from 1 species
CCAUAGCCCCGAUAGUAGCGGUUACCCCGCAGUAGAGUGGGAGAGUUGGAGGGUUUGGUGUUGCCAAGCGUUGGAACGAGGAGUAUGAGUGGAUAGCGGGAUUAAGC